UACGUAGGGGGCUAGCGUUGUCCGGAAUCAUUGGGCGUAAAGCGCGUGUAGGCGGCCCGGUAAGUCCGCUGUGAAAGUCGGGGGCUCAACCCUCGAAUGCCGGUGGAUACUGUCGGGCUAGAGUGCGGAAGAGGCGAGUGGAAUUCCUGGUGUAGCGGUGAAAUGCGCAGAUAUCAGGAGGAACACCAAUUGCGAAGGCAGCUCGCUGGGACGUUACUGACGCUGGAGACGCGAAAGCGUGGGGAGCAAACAGG
rnacentral:rRNA from 1 species